GUGAAGUAUGACACAAGAUUAAUGAAAAUCAGAAUUAAGUAUUCAACAUGAUUAAAGAUUAAGAUUAGAGAAAAAUGAUCUAAGUAGGAAUAACAAAAAACAAACGAAUCAAGUUCAAGAACUGGGAAAUGUGAAGUAAAGAAAAAUGUCGGAAUUUACAAAGGUUUUGUCUUUAAUCGUUGACUAGCUUGGCAUGCACAGGAGCAGGACUAGUGACGACGGAGCUCGGCGGAGUUAACGGCGGAGAUGCUGAUACUGGAGCCGGAGGUGGUGGUGGGAUUGGUAUAUCCGUUGAAGGCGGAGGAGGUGCGGUGGUUGUAUCUAAAUCCGGCGGAGGAGGUGAAAAUUCCGGCGGAGGAUUCGGAGUGGAUGGAGGAGGCGGAUUCGGAUUUACGAUCGGAGCCGGCGGAUUUGGGGAAAUUGAAGUAGAUGAUGAUGAAUCAGUUGGAGAUGGAGGAGAAGAUCCGAGAACAGGCGGGUUCGGGUUUGGAUUCGGGUUUGGGUUUGGGAAUGGAGUUAUGAAAGGAGAAGUAGAAGAAGAGGAAGAAGAAGAAGAAGAAGAGGGAUCGGUGGAAGAUGAGCAAUAGUCGCCGGAGCAGUGGUGAGAGUGACGGCGGAGAACACCGAAGGCUACGACGAGGCCAAUGACGAAGACGACGGUGACGAUGAAAAUGAAAAUCUUGGUGGCUUUGCCGACAUAGCAGAGCAUUGUUGUGGAUAUUCAGAAGAUCGGAAACCAAAAUUCUGUGACUAUUUUUUUUGGAUGUUUGUUUUAUUUUAUUUUUAUAGUUGUUGUGAAUGAAUUUUUAGAUUACAAAAAUGAAAUGAAUCUCUCUAUUAUCUCUCUUUCAU